UACGGGGGGGGGUAAGCGUUGUUCGGAAUUACUGGGCGUAAAGGGCUCGUAGGCGGCCAACUAAGUCAUACGUGAAAUCCCUCGGCUCAACCGGGGGAACUGCGUCUGAUACUGGGUGGCUUGAAUCCGGGAGAGGGAUGCGGAAUUCCAGGUGUAGCGGUGAAAUGCGUAGAUAUCUGGAGGAACACCGGUGGCGAAGGCGGCAUCCUGGACCGGCAUUGACGCUGAGGCGCGAAAGCCAGGGGAGCAAACGGG
rnacentral:rRNA from 1 species